rnacentral:misc_RNA from 1 species
AACGCACAUUGCGCCCGCCAGUAUUCUGGCGGGCAUGCCUGUUCGAGCGUCAUUUCAACCAUCAAGCCCUAGGCUUGUGUUGGGGUCCUGCGGCUGCCCGCAGGCCCCUAAAUACAGUGGCGGGCUCGCUAUCGCACCGAGCGCAGUAGGUAACUCCUCGCUUAGGGCGCGACGGCGGGCGCCGGCCGUGAAACCCCCCAUCAUACAAGGUUGACCUCGGAUCAGGUAGGAAUACCCGCUGAACUUAA